GAUGAACGCUGGCGGCGUGCUUAACACAUGCAAGUCGAACGGUGAAAGAGAGCUUGCUCUCUGGAUCAGUGGCGAACGGGUGAGUAACACGUGAGCAAUCUGCCCCUGACUCUGGGAUAAGCGCUGGAAACGGCGUCUAAUACCGGAUACGAGCUGCGAAGGCAUCUUCAGCAGCUGGAAAGAACUUCGGUCAGGGAUGAGCUCGCGGCCUAUCAGCUAGUUGGUGAGGUAACGGCUCACCAAGGCGUCGACGGGUAGCCGGCCUGAGAGGGUGACCGGCCACACUGGGACUGAGACACGGCCCAGACUCCUACGGGAGGCAGCAGUGGGGAAUAUUGCACAAUGGGCGAAAGCCUGAUGCAGCAACGCCGCGUGAGGGAAGACGGCCUUCGGGUUGUAAACCUCUUUUAGCAGGGAAGAAGCGAAAGUGACGGUACCUGCAGAAAAAGCGCCGGCUAACUACGUG
rnacentral:rRNA from 1 species